rnacentral:rRNA from 1 species
UACGUAGGGUGCGAGCGUUGUCCGGAAUUAUUGGGCGUAAAGAGCUCGUAGGCGGUCUGUCGCGUCGGUCGUGAAAACUUGGGGCUUAACUCUGAGCUUGCGGUCGAUACGGGCAUGACUGGAGUUCGGCAGGGGAGACUGGAAUUCCUGGUGUAGCGGUGAAAUGCGCAGAUAUCAGGAGGAACACCGGUGGCGAAGGCGGGUCUCUGGGCCGAUACUGACGCUGAGGAGCGAAAGCGUGGGGAGCGAACAGG